UUGAUGAAGUGUCACAUACAUGGAGAGACGCUCGCAAGUCUGGGACUUACUUCAAUCAGCCGGUACCACGUGACCUCGAGGCCGUGCCGUGAGAAAUCUGAGGCUUCUGCUGCCCCAGGCUCGGAAGGCUCCCUCUCGGAACCAAACUUGAGAAACUCCAGGUCACGUGCAGGAGAAGUGAAGAAUGAACAGCUGACAGCCACGUGUGCGCAUGUGUGUGUGCGUGCGCGUGCCACUGUGGACUUCCCAGCUCAGGCCUGCAGCUGGAAAGUAAGACAAAUAUUUGAUUGUUUUAAGCCAUUAUAUUUCGGGGUGCUUUGGCAUUCAUCCGCAGACCACAGAAGCACUCCUUCCCCAGCGCUGUGCAGAGCCGCGGCCCAUGGAUCUCUCAGGACUCUAUUCUAUCCCACUGGUGCAAGAAGCUGUGUUCCUACCGACACCACAGGCUUUCGGGAGAGCUGACCCUUCUCCGUUUACGGAACAGCGGCAGAGCGAGAGCAUCACUCCUCCUCCUUUAGGGUUGGCGCUCGUGGAGCCCGGAUAACCGUCUCUUCUCCCGUGGAGGAGGAGAGUGCUCACCACAGAAGGACAGACUGGCAAACGCCACCUCGUUUGUGAGUAGAGAAACCCAGCCGCUCGCCGGGAAGGUGAGGGCGUGCUGGCCUUCAGACACAGAUGGAUCUAAGUCUGGUAAGAUUGCAGACUUCGCAAAAAAACAAAAGCAAAACCAAACGAAACCAGGACACCCAGUUAAAUUUGAAUUUCAGAUGAAGAAUAAAGAACUUUUUAGGGAAAGUAUGUCCCAUAUCUGUUCUUCCCCUGAGAUUCAACUUUAUUGGGGCAAAUCUGUAUUUCCCCAGCCACUUCAACCCAGGGGCUCAGACAGGGGUGCCCCGCCUCUCUCUCCUUAUCUCGAGGGCUGUGCCCUGUUUAUGGUCUCAUUCUGUAAACAUCUGCUUCUCACCAUCCCAGAGGAAGAGAGGCCUUUAUCUUCCUCCGGCUGCAGGAAGACCUCAGGGGGCGAGGUAGGUGCCCACCCCUGAACCCACGGUGGGGGCAGGAGCGCUGACCCCAGUAGGCAGCUGUGGGGAGUGGGCUCGGCCUCGUUCAGGCUCCACCCAGUCGGUUCCCCUCGGGAGAGAGGGGGUCGGUUGCCAGAAAACAGUGUAGGGAACACGGUGUCAGCUGGACCCCCGAUCUCCUAUGGGGUCACGGCCUGCCUAAACACCGGGCAAGGUUCAAUCCACUGGAGUCAUGACAACAAGCGCUGCUCUUGUUUCUGAAGGAUUUUCUCUCAUUUCAGUUCUUUUCCCUGGUGGUCUAAAAGAAUCCUUCUGGGUCAGCAAUGACGCGCUUCUCUUCCAUUUUGUAAAUCUGCACAGGCCUGAGGUGUGGUCGGUCCUGGGGGGACGGAGGCUGGGAGGCUGAGCCCCACGAAGAUGGAAAGUCGAUGCCCGUGAUCACAGAGGAUGUAGAAAAGGAAUCUGAACUUCUGCUCCAGAAGCUGUUAUUACGUUUAAACUUGGCAGAAAAGCAGCCACCCCGGAAAUUCAUACAGUCAGUGACGAGAAUAAUAAUGAUUAUUACAAUGAAGGCAUGUUCUGGAGUCAGAGCCGUACCACCUGGCACCAGCGCGGUCCCGAGCUGCCUGCACCUGGCAGCGCCCUCCUCAGGACACGGCAGAGCUUCGAGGACGCGCUUGUCACUGCGAGCUGCCCUGUGGGCAAAUCUAGGGGUAACGCAGGGGUGGCCUCGUCCCGAGGCUCCAGCACAGCGGGGUGCUGGUGGGCAGGUUGUGACAGGAGCCACGGUAGGCGAGGAGGGGCUCAGCUUUGUCUCUCCCAGUCGCCUCUCGUUGGGACCUCCUGGGAGGCAGAAACCCCAGAACGUUCCAGACCAGGGCCCUCAGCCCGCCUGUGCGAGGGGAGUGGGCUGAGAAGUGAGAUAAACUCCCCGCUCUCUGCAGGGGGAGUUGGUGGGGGCGGGACAACGUGCAAACGCCCUGUCCCUGCUGGGGGGUUUCCUGAGCGCUGAGGGACACGCGCCACCUUCCUGCCCCUCCUGGGACAGCCACCGCCCUCAGGGUCCCAGUCCCAACCCUGGGACCAGGCUGCUGUCCAUUUCAGAACAAAAGUGAAAGUAAAAUAGAAACGAUUUUAACUCCUCUGCCCGCUGAUGAAGAUCCCAUCCAGCAAGGCUCUUCUCAGAGCAAAGCCGUGGGGCUGAGGGGCGCAGCGGCCAGAGUCCCGGGGGCCAGGCCGCCCAGCGGGGGACAAGUGUGUGCACCCAGCUUCUGCCGUCUUCCUGCUGAGCCGCCCAGGCAGGUGACUCAUGGCUCUGAACCUUCAUUUCUUCAUCCAUCGCCCGUGCAAAUAACACCUUCAUCACCGGUUGAAGAGUAGACGGAGAGACUCGCUUUCCCCUGUCCUCGGCGUGCUCGUCGCGAAUGAGAGGGUAGAGACGAGGGGCCCCUGUGAGCCUGGCCGGCGGCCCAGGGGGCUCUGAGCCCCCAGCAGGCCGUGUAAACGGUUCAUUUCCACGCACAGAGCUUAUGAUCCUGCGCGGUUUUGUGACCCAAAGGAGAAGAAUUGCUCUUGGAUUCAUGGUCGUGGGUGCCUGGAGCCAGCUCCUGACCCUAUGCUGAUGGACGCCCUGCAGGACGGCUCAUGGCGUUUCUAGGGGAUUCCUGGUCCACCCACAGCCAGGCCCCAGCCCUCCUUCCAGCUGCCCAG